CCUACGGGAGGCAGCAGUGGGGGAUAUUGCACAAUGGGGGAAACCCUGAUGCAGCGACGCCGCGUGUGGGAAGACGGUCUUCUGGAUUGUAAACCACUGUCCCCAGGGACGAAAAUGACGGUACCUGGGGAGGAAGCUCCGGCUAACUACGUGCCAGCAGCCGCGGUAAUACGUAGGGAGCAAGCGUUUUCCGGAAUUACUGGGUGAAAGGGGAGCGUGGGCGGGGAUGAAAGUUGGGUGUAAAAACUACCGGCUCAACCGAUAGUCGCAUUCAAAACUGCAGCUCUUGAGUGAAGUAGAGGCAGGCGGAAUUCCUAGUGUAGCGGUGAAAUGCGUAGAUAUUAGGAGGAACACCAGUGGCGAAGGCGGCCUGCUGGGCUUUUACUGACGCUGAGGCUCGAAAGUGUGGGGAGCAAACAGGAUUAGAUACCCCAGUAGUC
rnacentral:rRNA from 1 species